CGGGGUGAGUAACGCGUGGGUAACCUGCCUCGUACAGGGGGAUAACAGUUAGAAAUGACCGCUAAUACCGCAUGAGCGCACAGUGCUGCAUGGCACAGUGUGAAAAACUCCGGUGGUAUGAGAUGGACCCGCGUCUGAUUAGCUAGUUGGUGGGGUAACGGCCUACCAAGGCGACGAUCAGUAGCCGGCCUGAGAGGGUGAACGGCCACAUUGGGACUGAGACACGGCCCAA
rnacentral:rRNA from 1 species